AGGGUUUGAUCAUGGCUCAGAACGUACGCUGGCGGCACGCCUAACACAUGCAAGUCGAACGCAGUAGCAAUACUGAGUGGCAAACGGGUGAGUAUAAUGUGGGAAUCUGCCUUUUGGUUCGGAAUAACACGGGGAAACUUGUGCUAAUACCGAAUAAGCCCUUACGGGGAAAGUUUUAAUGCCGAAAGAUGAGCCCGCACUUGAUUAGCUAGUUGGUAAGGUAAAAGCUUACCAAGGCAACGAUCAAUAGCUGUUCUUAGAGGAAGACCAGCCACAUUGGGACUGAGACACGGCCCAGACUCCUACGGGAGGCAGCAGUGGGGAAUCUUGCACAAUGGGGGAAACCCUGAUGCAGCGAUGCCGCGUGAGUGAAGAAGGCCUUUGGGUUGUAAAACUCUUUCGUCGGGGAAGAAAAUGACUGUACCCGAAUAAGAAGGUCCGGCUAACUUCGUGCCAGCCGCCGCGGUAAUUC
rnacentral:rRNA from 1 species